rnacentral:rRNA from 1 species
GGAUUAGAUACCCUAUUAUUUUAGAUGUAAAGUUAGUUGAACUGGAGUAGUAUUAGUUAUGACCUUGAAACUUAAAGAAUUUGGCGGUAUUUUAGUCUAUUUAGAGGAAUCUGUCCCUUAAUCGAUAGUCCACGUUGAACCUUACUUGAUUUAAAGUAUGUAUACCGCCGUUGUUGAAAAUCUUUUUAGAGUGAUUUUCUUGAUUUUUUAUUAGUAAAUAUUUCAGGUCAAGGUGCAGCUGAUAAUUGAGUGGAGAUGGAUUACAGUGUUAGUAGACAGACGGAUUGAGUAUUAAAAUUUAAUUGAAGGUGGAUUUAAUUGUAAAUUUGUGAAGAUUUUCAAAUUGAUAAAAGCUCUAAAAUGUGCACACAUCGCCCGUCACUCUCGUUAAUUAAAAUGAGAUAAGUC